GAUGAACGCUAGCGGCAGGCCUACACAUGCAAGUCGAGGGGCAGCACAGAAACAGCAAUGUUUUGGUGGCGACCGGCGGACGGGUGCGUAACGCGUAUGCAACCUACCUUUAACAGGGGGAUAACGGAGAGAAAUUUCCACUAAUACCCCAUAACAUCGAUCAAGGCAUCUUGAUUGGUUGAAAACUCCGGUGGGUAAAGAUGGGCAUGCGUUGUAUUAGGUAGUUGGUGAGGUAAUGGCUCACCAAGCCUACGAUACAUAGGGGGACUGAGAGGUUAGCCCCCCACACUGGUACUGAGACACGGACCAGACUCCUACGGGAGGCAGCAGUGAGGAAUAUUGGUCAAUGGGGGCAACCCUGAACCAGCCAUGCCGCGUGCAGGAAGACGGCUCUAUGAGUUGUAAACUGCUUUUAAACAGGGAUAAAGCACAGUAUGUAUACUGUGUUGAAGGUACUGUAAGAAUAAGGAUCGGCUAACUCCGUGCCAGCAGCCGCAGUAA
rnacentral:rRNA from 1 species